GCGUCGAGCACGUCGGACGGUGCCUGGGUGGAGCAACACCUCCAGAGCUCCAUGCCCCGGUCACCGGCGCCAUGGAUGCUGCCGCCGCCUUUCUCGGGCGCCACCGCAUCCCGGAUAGCGUUGAGGCAGACCACCAGGAACUUGGACAGCCGGUCGAAGUCCCCGUGGCCCUCAUCCACGCCCGUCGCCCUUCGCCAUCUCGGCUGUGCUGGCUAGGUCGCUUCGGCGAGAUAGCCGCCAACCGUCGGGGAGUGGAGGGGUGGGAGGUCGACAGGAGCACGAGCAGUUGGGCGGUUCUUGGC
rnacentral:misc_RNA from 1 species